GCCCGCUUGGCUUAGUGGUAAAGCGUCGCACUUGUAAUGCGAAGAUCAAGAGUUCAAUUCUCUUAGUGGGCA